rnacentral:misc_RNA from 1 species
UACAGAGGGUGCAAGCGUUAAUCGGAAUUACUGGGCGUAAAGCGCACGUAGGCGGGUUACUCAGUCGAAUGUGAAAGCCCGAGGCUUAACCUCGGAACUGCAUCCGAUACUGGUAACCUAGAGUAUGGUAGAGGGAAGUGGAAUUUCCGGUGUAGCGGUGAAAUGCGUAGAUAUCGGAAAGAACACCAAUGGCGAAGGCAGCUUCCUGGACCAACACUGACGCUCAGGUGCGAAAGCGUGGGUAGCAAACAGG